UGUAUUAUUCUGGUUUGUGAUGCUGUACUGAACAAAUAGCUUUUCUGUCAGGUGGCAAAAAAAUAAAAGAAUCUGUCUUGCAGUGCAGAUGAUACAGGUUCGAUCCCUGAUUAGGCAACUAAGGUCUCACGUGCCUCCUAAGCCUCUACACCGCAACUACUGAAGGCCACGCAGCACAACUAGAGAAUCUGUGUAAAACCGUGAAAGAUCCUGCAAGACGAAGUGAAGAUCCCAUGUGCUACAACUGAGACCCAAUACGGCCAAAUAAAUGAUAAAAUUUUUUUUAAAAACAGGCAAAAUGAUACACCACUAGACAUCUAUUACAAUUAUUUAACAAACAAGCUUGACAAGACCAAGUGCUCGUGAAGAUGCAGGGCAACUAGAACUCAUGCAAAAUUGCACAGAAUAUUUGGAAAAUGGCUUGGCAGUUUCUUAUAAAAGUAAACAUGCACUCAUCAUCGGAGAAGGCAGUGGCACCCCACUCCAGUGCUCUUGCCUGGACGGAGCAUGGACGGAGGAGCCUGCUAGGCUGCAGUCCAUGGUGUCACUAAGAGUCGGACACGACUGAGCGACUUCACUUUCACUCUUCACUCUCAUGCAUUGGAGAAGGAAAUGGCAACCCACUCCAGUGUUCUUGCUGGAGAAUCCCAGGGACGGGGGAGCCUGGUAGGCUGCCAUCUAUGGGGUCACACAGAGUCAGACACGACUGAAGCGACUUAGUAGCAGCAGCAGCAGCAGCACUCAUCAUGCGAUCCAGCAAUCCCAUUCUGAGUCGUCUACCUGGGAGAAAGGAAAACACGUGUUCCCACAAAAACCAGCUCACCCAUGUUCACAGCAGAUUUAUUCAUAAUUUCCCUUCCUGGAAACAACCCAGAUGCACUGUAAUUGGGGGAUGGAUGAAUAAACUGGUACAUCCAUACAGUGGAAUACGAUUCCGCAAUAACAAACUGUGGAAGCACUCAAUGACAUCAAUGAACCUCACACACAUUAUGCUAAGUGGAUGAAGCCAAAGUCAAAAGGCUUCAUACUGUAUUACAAACGUUGGGCGUAGGGUAAAGGACUUGUUUUUUUUAAAAAUUCCACAGACUGGGAAGGUAUCUGCUACCCAAUAAGGGAUUACAGUCAGGAAGAGGUUGAGGGGGAAAAACAAAGAAAUUUUUUCAAGAAGAAAAAGAUGUAUAACAUUCACAUAAGAAAAAAACCCCAAUUGACCAACAAACAUAUAAAUCAACCUGUCCAGUAUCACCAAGGAAUUUUGGAAGAUGACAGAACUGUUCUACAUUAUGACUGUGACAGUGACCACCCCACUGUAUGCAGUUACCAUAACUCGCAGAACUGUACGCCAAGAGGAGUACAGUUUACUGCGUGCAGAUAAACUAGCCUGAAAGGAUGGAACCCCAAAGCCCUUUAUGUAUCUAGACAAGACCCCUGAGAACUCUGAGGCCGAGCAGCAAGCGGGUGCAGUACGCAUAUUGAGCCUGGUGUUGCUCACUGUUUUUCUCACUGCCUGGAAUUUGAGGGUAAGAGUUUCUCUUGGGUCUGAGCUUCUGCCCUCCUUGCAUUUUUUUUUUAAAUUAAAGGAAAAAAAAAUUAUUUUUUGGCCAUGCUGCACAGCAUAUGGGUUCUUGGUUCUCCAACCGAGGAUGAAACCUGUA
ensembl:lncRNA